UGAGAUCAACCUAUGUAGCAUU
rnacentral:miRNA from 1 species